GCGGAAAUAGCUAGAGUUUUACAAGAGUAUAAAUAUAAACCCGGUUAUCAAGCGGCUAUUUUUGAUAUGACAACAAAAUUUAAGAAGUAUUUUUUUCCCAUCCCAACUUUAUUUAUAUUGGGUUCUCUUUUAAAUCCUUGUUUAAAAGUGUCUUAUACUAAAGCAUUGGUUGGUCAAAUUUAUACAUUUUUAGAAAUUGAAGAGGGAGUUCAACCAUCUUUAGCUGAAGCCGAACUCGCUAUGGAUGACGAGUUUAGAAAAGUUUUUACUCAUUAUUCUAAUUUGGAAGAAUAUGCUACACCCGUUGCUCCACGCCCUACUACUUCUCAAAGUAGCAAAAAGGGCUUGUCGGGUUUGUCGCAUUUAAAAGUUUUACAUUCACAGCCAACUCCCUCUUGUAGUGCAAACUUUGAUAAAUAUAACUUUUAUUUGAUGCAGCCAAAUGUGGAUAUCAAGGAACUAGAUGUGUUGAACGUCUUAGCAUGGUGGAAGAAAUACAAGGCAAGUCAUCCGAUACUUUAAAGAAUGGCUCGAGAUAUCCUUACAGUUCAAGUAUCAACCGUGGCUUCGGAGAUGUGCAUUCGCGAUUGGAUUAGAUCGGAGCGACGCAACCAAAACUUAAAAGCGGAGGAAGGCGAAGAGGAAGAGAUUGAAGAUUUGAUAGCAAGUGGGCCGGACCAAAUAGAAGGCUUUGAAGAUAUCUCCAUGGCCGAAUAUGAUAUGGGGAAAAUUAACCAAAUGAUUGAGAAUUGCUGAUUUUAUUAUUCUACUAUUUCUUUGCAACUCAUGUAUUAUUUGCAAGUUAAAAAAAACUACAACUUGCAAAUAAAUGUUAUCCAAGAAUGAAUAAAAUAUAUGGCUCAUUGAGCUUUCUUCUA